rnacentral:rRNA from 1 species
AUGAACGCUGGCGGCGUGCCUAAUACCUGCCAGUCGCGCGAACAGACGAGGAGCUUGCUCCUCUGACGUUAGCGGCGGACGGGUGAGUAACACGUGGAUAACCUACCUAUAAAACUGGGAUAACUUCGGGAAACCGGAGCUAAUACCGGAUAAUAUAUUGAACCGCAUGGUUCAAUAGUGAAAGACGGUUUUGCUGUCACUUAUAGAUGGAUCCGCGCCGCAUUAGCUAGUUGGUAAGGUAACGGCUUACCAAGGCAACGAUGCGUAGCCGACCUGAGAGGGUGAUCGGCCACACUGGAACUGAGACACGGUCCAGACUCCUACGGGAGGCAGCAGUAGGGAAUCUUCCGCAAUGGGCGAAAGCUUGACGGAGCAACGCCGCGUGAGUGAUGAAGGUCUUCGGAUCGUAAAACUCUGUUAUUAGGGAAGAACAAAUGUGUAAGUAACUAUGCACGUCUUGACGGUACCUAAUCAGAAAGCCACGGCUAACUACGUG